GCCCAGGUGGCGGAAUUGGUAGACGCACUACCUUGAGGUGGUAGCGGCGAAAGCUGUAGGGGUUCGAGUCCCCUCUUGGGCA
rnacentral:tRNA from 2 species